rnacentral:rRNA from 1 species
UACAGAGGUCUCAAGCGUUUGUUCGGAUUCAUUGGGGCGUAAAGGGCGCGUAGGCGGCGAGGUAAGUCGGUGUGAAAUCUCAGAGCUCAACUCUGAAACUGCACUCGAUACUGCUUGCUAGAGGACUGGAGAGGAGAUUGGAAUUCACGGUGUAGCAGUGAAAUGCGUAGAGAUCGUGAGGAAGACCAGUGGCGAAGGCGGAUCUCUGGACAGUUCCUGACGCUGAGGCGCGAAGGCCAGGGGAGCAAACGGG